rnacentral:rRNA from 1 species
UACGGAGGGUGCAAGCGUUAUCCGGAUUCACUGGGUUUAAAGGGUGCGUAGGCGGAUUGGUAAGUCCGUGGUGAAAUCUCCGAGCUUAACUUGGAAACUGCCAUGGAUACUAUUAGUCUUGAAUAUUGUGGAGGUUAGUGGAAUAUGUCAUGUAGCGGUGAAAUGCAUAGAUAUGACAUAGAACACCAAUUGCGAAGGCAGCUGGCUACACAAAUAUUGACGCUGAUGCACGAAAGCGUGGGGAUCAAACAGG